GACCCCUGAUAAUUACAGAAAGAGUAUCCAGUUUCAUCACAAGCAUGACUUUAAAAAUGCUAUACAGAUAAAAGGUAAUGACUUGCGUUUGUGAUAUGGUGUGGUUGCUGGAAUAAAGCACAAGCACUCGUGGCUUUUCACCAUCAGUCCCAGGCAAAUAUCUCUGGUAUUAAACAAAUACAGUCUAUUUCCCACGAUCAUGCCAUUUGGAGUAUAUUACAUCUUCAAUAUGAAGUUAACAUAUUCUGCUUGAAAUGUCUUGAUUGCAUUACAUAUUCCAAAAACUCCAACCACUGCAAUAAAACUGCUACCUCAAGAAUAAUGUGACAUGAUGAUGUGACAUUUAUAUUAAAUGUGAUUUUCACCUAU
rnacentral:lncRNA from 1 species